AUUUAUCCGUAUGAUCAUAAGA
rnacentral:miRNA from 1 species